GGGCCCGUAGCUCAGUUGGGAGAGCGCUUGAAUGGCAUUCAAGAGGUCAGGGGUUCGACUCCCCUCGGGUCCACCA
rnacentral:tRNA from 2 species